rnacentral:rRNA from 1 species
UACGUAGGGAGCAAGCGUUGUCCGGAAUCAUUGGGCGUAAAGCGCGCGUAGGUGGCUUCGUAAGUCCGUUGUGAAAGUCAAAGGCUCAACCUUUGAAAGCCGAUGGAUACUGCGGAGCUAGAGUACGGAAGAGGCGAGUGGAAUUCCUGGCGUAGCGGUGGAAUGCGCAGAUAUCAGGAGGAACACCAAUAGCGAAGGCAGCUCGCUGGGACGUUACUGACACUGAGGCGCGAAAGCGUGGGGAGCGAACAGG